rnacentral:rRNA from 1 species
UACGGGGCAAGCGUUGUUCGGAAUUACUGGGCGUAAAGCGCACGUAGGCGGCUUUUGUAAGUUAGAGGUGAAAGCCCGGGGCUCAACUCCGGAAUUGCCUUUAAGACUGCAUCGCUAGAAUUGUGGAGAGGUAAGUGGAAUUCCGAGUGUAGAGGUGAAAUUCGUAGAUAUUCGGAAGAACACCAGUGGCGAAGGCGACUUACUGGACACAUAUUGACGCUGAGGUGCGAAAAGCGUGGGGAGCAAACAGG